CUAUGUGUUGUUGGGUAGGGGAGCGUUCUGUAAGCCUGUGAAGGUGGCCUGUGAGGGUUGCUGGAGGUAUCAGAAGUGCGAAUGCUGACAUAAGUAACGAUAAAGCGGGUGAAAAGCCCGCUCGCCGGAAGACCAAGGGUUCCUGUCCAACGUUAAUCGGGGCAGGGUGAGUCGACCCCUAAGGCGAGGCCGAAAGGCGUAGUCGAUGGGAAACAGGUUAAUAUUCCUGUACUUGGUGUUACUGCGAAGGGGGGACGGAGAAGGCUAUGUUGGCCGGGCGACGGUUGUCCCGGUUUAAGCGUGUAGGCUGGUUUUCCAGGCAAAUCCGGAAAACCAAGGCUGAGGCGUGAUGA
rnacentral:rRNA from 1 species